GCGCCGCGUUGUGUUUACAUCGUGCGGAAAGGAGCGCGAUGCGGAACCGCGGGGUUUGGGCUUUUCCGUGAAAAGGGCGAGAGCGGCCGCCUGGGCCGGAGGACUGGGAAGCGCUGCGCACCCAAACUUCGUUAAAAUAAAGCAUUCGGGAUAAAGACGGAGGCAGAAGAGCGGCCGGCUGUCCCCGAGCGGUCCCCGUUGGGUUUGCGUCGCCCAAGAAGCCCUGGCGCUCUGCGGCGCCUUAGAGCGGGCAGCAAAGCCGGAGCAGCCCGGUUCGAACAGGCCAUAGUAAAGAACAGUGCCUGCUGCUACAGAGCUGCACAUUCACGGAAGGGUUUUAAAACACACGCAGGGAUUUAGCUUUUGUUCUUCAUUGUGAGACUGAGAGCUUCACACAAAAAGAUGAAGAGAUUUGUAUGAAUGAUUGGAUUGGGAAGAGGAAUUUCCUCCUGCAGAGAAAGAGGUACUUCUACUUCUCUGUGUAUGCUGCAGUGUUUCCAGGUGCAUGGUAGUGUCUUGACUUCUUGGGCAUUCUUACAGACCAGAGUGAAGCUGAAACAGAAACAUUUACAAUCAGGAUUAUUUAUGCUAGUCAGCUCAGUGCAAAAUGUGUGAAUAUAACGAGUUAUGUGAACACUUAUGAACUAAUAAUGCACUGAGAUCAUCCAUAAUAUGGAAAUUCAACAAACAGCAGUUUGCCACCCACAGCUGGAGGAGAUGACUCAGUUUUUUCUCUGGGAAAGACUGACAUUGUCACUGCUACAUGCAAAGUGGAAAAGGGUACUGAUUGCUGCUUCAUGUGAGUAUUUAGUGGCCUGGACGUGGAUCCUCCCUUUGGCACAGCUAUUCCAAGGGCUUCAGGGACUAUGUGCCCUCAUGAGAGUUGCUUUCGUGGAGAAUUUUUCUGUCAAAGCUGCUUGGUGCAUUAUUCAAGUGCAAUAACCUGCUUUCAAACUUCCCUUGAUGAUUUAAUUUCAAACACAAAAAAGCAUCACAAGGCUGUACUCUUUGCUGUACUCAAACUUCCAUACUUUUAACAACUUGCCGCAAGAGCCUGCCAAAUAAUGUAACUUUAUUUAAAAAUUUGUUUAUUUUAUCAUUGUCUUCCAAGAAGCAGCAAAAUUAAUUUUAAUUAAAAUUUGUAUUUAGGAAACAAUCAACAAACCACACACAUAACCACAUGCACAGCUUGAUCUGCUGCUGGGGUGAACCACGGUAUGCCAAGCUUCAGCCUGAAGCUAAUUUUUUACAGCCAAGUUAUAAAGCCCUGAAAAGGGGGUUUUAUUGUGGAAAUGCUGACAGAACCAUAGUGGUGCUACUGGCUGCCUCUCUAAUUAGUUUAAAGAAUGGAAAGUUGUAUUUUGGAAUAUGUGGUAAGCCCUCUUUUCCUGAUGUUGCUGGUUUAUGCCAAAACUACAGGAUUAAUUUGAUGUUAUUACAAGAUUGAGAAGAUGAGUUUUUUGCUGUCAUGAGAGGUACUUUCAGGCAGCAAACUGGAUUUGUACUUUCAAUUACAUAAAUAUUAAAUGGUGCAAUUUUGAUUUGGUUUUGGUGACAGUAGCGGAUCCCUGCUGUGUUCACUCUACUUUGAAGAAGAUGUGGAGUCCACAUGGUGUUUCUUGCAUGUUUUCCAGAAACUACUUUUAAAUUCCUUCAAUAAAAGUUACUUUUAUUCCUGUUUAA